rnacentral:rRNA from 1 species
UACGUAGGGUGCGAGCGUUAAUCGGAAUUACUGGGCGUAACGUGUUCGCAGGCGGUUCGCCAAUUCCUGUUUGAAAUCCCCGGGCUCAACCUGGGAAUUGCGCUUGAAACUAGCGAGCUUGAGUGUGGCAGAGGGGGGUGGAAUUCCACGUGUAGCAGUGAAAUGCGUAGAUAUGUGGAGGAACACCGAUGGCGAAGGCAGCCCCCUGGGUCAACACUGACGCUCAUGCACGAAAGCGUGGGUAGCAAACAGG